rnacentral:lncRNA from 1 species
CAUUACCAACUUCCACUACUAUAUGCAUCAACUCUGUAAUCUCAUCACAUAUGCUUUGUUAAUUGCAACUACAGAGAAAUUGAUGAACAAUCAUCAAAAUUAGUUUGCCAAUUACAAACCAUAUAGUAUGUCCUCUGCUUAAAAGGUAAUAACACAUGUACAUGAUCUACAAUUCUUUGUUGGCAAACUAUCAGUAGGAGAACAGGAAUAUUUCCAGGAAACUGAUUGAUCCAGACAACAUCCUUCAAAACAAUGCGGUACCUGACAUGUGUACAUUAAACUUAUCGUCAGCAACUCAGAAUUUCCAGACAAGUAAAAUAAGGUGCUUACAAGAUGUCCUCACUAUCAUGUACUGCUUACAUACUUUGUGAUAACCCCGAUGAGGAAUAAAAUUCUAAGAAAGUUAAAUAUGAAUGGAUUUCGACUAUCAAUAUGAUACUAGCACAUCCAAGUGCACGGGUCAACUAUCAAAAUACUUGAUACUCUUUGCAUGUUGUUGUUCUUGGACAAAAUGCUUACAUUUUUCCCUCAUAUUUUUCAGGAUUAACUACCUGCAGUCAGCAUGCGUCGAACUCGCAAUGGACUCAACAAAAACAACAAUAGGUAUUGGUUACCACAAUAUAAAAACAAUUUUAUACCCAUUAAUUUACCUAGAUUAUUAAAAUGGCACCAAAAUCUAAUGCAGCAAUGAAAGACCUGACAAAGCAACCUCCAAACUUGCCACUCUACAAUCUAAUGAUAAUCAACCAGACAUCAUUAGAGCAGCAAUGAAGGAUGCUGCACGGAAAAGGAAAGAAAUACUUCAGCAGAAAAGGAAUCAGGUGCUUAUAAGAUGUCCUCACUAGCAUGUACUUAAUUUUUUUGUGAUGUUCCCAAUGAGGAAUAUAUUUUAAUUUCUACAGUCAAGGUUAAAUAUUCAGUGAGAAAUAUUACAUGGGGUACAUGCCAGAUCUUCGGCUCCAGAAAGGAAAUACUGCUGAGUUCCAUAUACUUAAUUCUAUCUGCAUGUUGUUGCUCUCAAACAAAGCGUUACAAUUUUUUCCCCUCAUUUCAGGAUUCACUAGCUGCACUCAACUUGCGUCGAAGUAACGGUGGACCAAAUCAAAACAACAGAAGGUAUUCAUUACCCCAAUACCAAAAAAUAAUUAUAUAGACAUUAAUUUACCUGGAUUAUUCAAAUGAUACCAAAAUAUAAUGCAGCAAUAUAUUGGGUGACCAAACAAUACAAAUACCUCAGCAAGGAACCUCGCAGCUCGCGACAGUAGAAUCUAAUGAUAGUCAAUCAGAUAUUAUCAGAGCAGCAAGGAAGGAAGCUAGACGAAAAAGGAAAGAGAUACUCCAGCUGAAAAGGGAAAGGAAACGAAUAAGGACAGAAAAGGACAAUAAUGGCUGUGAAGUAUCAAAUAUAGCAAAGGAUGUCACUCAAGUUUCAAAUUUGGGAAAACCAAAUUGCGUUUGGGAAUUUUGCAAUGCCAUUAUGUGGCAUGGAGAGAGAAGCACAAACACAUGUAACAUCACAGUUCCAAAGUUUGGUCUCUGCUGCAAGGAAGGGAAAAUUAAAUUACCACCACUGAAGCAAGCUCCGUUGUAUCUCCGACAGCUACUACGUUACAAUGAAAGAGGAGAGUCAUCCAAUUUUCGCCAGAACAUCAGGUUGUACAACUCCAUGUUCGCGUUCACUUCAAUGGGAGGAAAGGUUGACUAUGAAAUUAAUAAGCAGACACCUGGACCAUAUGUUUUCCGUUUGAAUGGCCAAAACUACCAUCAGAUUGGCACUUUACUUCCUAAAGAUGACGUGACAAAACCAAAAUUUGCCCAAUUGUACAUACAUGACACAGAAAAUGAAGUGCGUAACAGGAUUACUGCAUCAACUUCAAUGGAGAUUAAGACAAAGCCAGAUGAAAACAUUGUCAAAGGUCUACUAGAGAUGCUAGAUGAGCACAAUGUUUUGGUCAAAUCGUUUCGUAUGGCAAGGGACAGGCUCGAAAACUGAGAUAUUAAAGAUGUAAGACUAAGAUUGAUCAACAAAAGGUCGAAAGAUGGACGGCAAUACAGCCUCCCAUCUGCCUCAGAAGUUGCAUCACUAAUUAUUGGGGAACAAGAUGGAGAAAAUAAUGAAUUUGAUAUAAUAAUUGAGACCAAAGACAGAAUGUUACAGAGGAUUUCAGAGUUGCACCCAAGCUAUAUGUCAAUGCAAUACCCCUUGCUUUUUCCAUAUGGAGAAGAUGGGUUCAGACCAGAAAUAGAGUAUCAAAAAAAGAUAGGCGACAAAGGUAAGAGAGUAUGUAACAAUGCUGGAGUUUUAUGCAUAUCGCAUCCAACAACGUCUUAACCAAGCAACAACCUUGCAAAUGAGUGGACGUUUGUUCCUACAGUUCUUAGUUGAUGCAGCAACGUGCAUUGAACAAUGGAGACUAAAUUGGUACAGGACAAACCAAGGAAAGCUGAGGACAGAACUAUACAGAGGACUGCAUGAUGCAAUAGAAAAUGGAGAUACACGAACUGAACAAGUUGGCCAAAGAAUCAUACUACCCUCAACAUAUAAUGGUAGCCCUAGAAAUAAGCAGCAAAACUACCAAGAUGCCAUGGCGAUUUGUCGUUGGGCUGGCUAUCCUGAUCUCUUCAUCACUUUUACAUGCAAUCCGAAAUGGCCGGAAAUACAGGAUAUGCUGGAUCUGAUUCCAGGCCAGAAACCUGAAGAUCGUCCAGACAUUGUUGCCAGAGUAUUCAUGUUAAAACUGAAGGAACUUAUGAAUGACAUAAAGAACGAGAAGUGUUUCAGACAAACAAUUGCGAGUAAGUUUACCAACCAACUACAGAUUUACUAUUGCCUAGAUGAUUGUCCUAAAUCAUUUCUUCUCAAAUUUCUUUACUUGCAUGCAGUUGUCUACACAAUAGAGUUCCAAAAAAGAGGCCUCCCUCAUGCACAUAUACUGGUGUUUCUACAUCCAGAUGAUAAAGAUCCCAGUCCUUCCCAGACCGACAAAAUCAUAUCAGCCGAAAUUCCUAACAAGAAUAGUGAUCCAGAUGGGUAUGAAGCAGUGCAAAAUUACAUGAUACAUGGUCCCUGUGGUCAAGCACACCCAAAAUCACCAUGCAUGGUCGAUUAAAGUUGUGCCAAACAUUUCCCCAAGAGUUUUUGCACUGAAACUACAAUAGAUGAAGAUAACUAUCCAGUAUAUAGAAGAUGAGAUGAUGGCAAUACUGUGGACAAAAACGGAGUGAAGCUAGACAAUAGAUUUGUUGUGCCAUACAAUAGAAACAUACUGGUCAAGUAUCAAGCCCACAUAAAUGUUGAAUGGUGCAACAGAUCAAGGUCUAUAAAGUAUUUAUUCAAAUACAUCCACAAAGGAGAAGAUCGAACAACUGUAUUAAUAGAAACAGAAGAGCAACAAAGAGAAACAAGAGGUGGCAAAUUAACAAACAGGGAUAACGAAAUCAAGAGAUACCUUGAUGCUCGGUACAUAUCUGGAUGUGAAGCCGCAUGGCGCAUAUUUCAGUUUCCUCUUCAGUAUAGAGAGCCUGCGGUUGAAAGGUUACAAUUUCACCUAGAAAAUGAACAUGUUGUGGUAUUCCCAGACUCGAUGGAUUUAGAUAAAAUCAUAUCUCGGCCUAACAUAGAAAAUACAAUGUUCACAGAAUGGAUGACAGCCAACCAAUUGCAUGAGGAAGCUCGCAGUUUGACGUAUGCACAGUUUCCAACCAAAUGGACUUGGCAUGCAAACGAGAAAGAAUGGAGGAAGAGACGUGGUGGUAAAAAAACCAUAGGCAGGAUUUACUAUGCACAACCAACAAUCGGUGAAAAAUACUACUUGAGAAUGCUUCUAAAUACCGUGAAAGGAUGCAGAUCCUAUGAAGAAAUCCGAACAGUUGAUGGGGUUGUACAUCCAACAUACAAAUCUGCAUGUUAUUCUCUUGGGCUACUUAAUGACGACAAGGAGUGGGAUGACUGCAUCAAGGAAGCAUCCCAUUGGGCCUCUGCUCCUCAAAUGCGCCAACUUUUCUGCACAAUACUUUUAUUUUGCGAGGUGACUGAUCCUGCAAAGUUGUGGCAAACAAACUGGGAGUUACUAUCUGAGGACAUCCAACGUCGGCAAAGAAGAAUACUCAAUUUUCAGGCCCUAGAACUCAACUCAUUGCAAAUAAAGAGCCUCCUCUUGGCAGAGAUCGAACACCUAUUGGCUAAAGGUGGUAAGUCCCUCAAAGAAUUUCCAGGAAUGCCACUACCAGAUAGUUCGAUUCUUCAAGAUAUAAAUAAUAGAUUAGUAAAUGAGGAACUAAACUACGAUAAAGAUUCUUUAAGAAUAGAGCACACAGAGUUACUACAAAAGCUAAAUCAAGAUAAGAGGAUGGCUUUUGAUGUUAUAAUAUAAUCAGUUAGCAGCAGCCGUGGAAAACUGAUUUUCGUUGACGGAUAUGGUGUAACUGGAAAGACAUUUCUGUGGAAAGCAGUCACGACAAAAUUAAGAUCCGAAGGAAAAAUAGUUCUAGCAGUAGCUUCAAGUGGUAUAGCAGCACUUCUUUUACAGGGCGGAAGAACAGCUCAUUCAAGAUUUCACAUUCCGCUCAAAAUCACAAGCGAGUCGACAUGCAACAUCAAGCAAGGAACAUUUCUCGCGGAACUAAUAAAGAAAACUUCACUGAUAAUAUGGGAUGAAGCACCUAUGACACACAAGAACUGUUUUGAGGCACUAGACAAGAGUUUGAGAGACAUACUUCGAUUCACAAAUGAGGAUGCCGAGCAUAGACCGUUUGGAGGAAUGACAGUAGUCUUGGGAGGUGACUUCAGACAAAUCCUACCAGUUAUGCCAAAGGGGAAAAGGGAACAUAUCAUUUCGGCAUCUAUAAAGAGAUCCUACUUGUGGAAGAACUUUGAGGAGUACCGACUCACAGAAAAUAUGCGUCUGAAUUCAUCCGAAGGUAGUCCAAAAGAGAAAGCAAAGACAGCUGAAUUUGCAAACUGGAUACUAAACAUCGGCGAUGGCACAACGGCAACAAUAGAUGAUGAAGACUGCAUUAGCAUCCCAGAAGACCUUAUUUUAAAUAAAGGAUAUGACCCAAAAGCAUCUAUAGUUAAUAACACAUACCCUGAAUUACACAACAAGUACACUGAUAGAACAUACCUAGAGGAAAGAGCGAUCCUGUGCCCAAGGAACGAGACUGUUGACUAGAUUAACACCUACAUCAUGAGUCAAAUUCCUGGAGAAGAGGUAACCUAUCUCAGUUUCAGAUACAACAUGCAAGGCAAUGUCUAUGGUGGAAGACGAAGAUAUGUUGUACCCAACUGAAUUUCUAAAUAGUAACAUUUUCUGGAAUACCAGAUCAUGAACUGAGGCUGAAAAUAGGAUUACCAGUAAUGCUUAUGAGGAACAUCAAUCAAAGUGCAGGACUUUGCAAUGGGACAAGACUAACAAUAACACAGCUAGGAAAGCGUUUCAUCGAAGGCCAGGUCAUAACAGGUACUAACAUUGGUGACAAAGUUUACAUCCCACGAAUUAUUAUGUCACCAAGUGAUUCAAAAUGGCCAUUCAUUCUGAAAAGGAGACAAUACCCAAUAUCGGUGUGCUUUGCUAUGACAAUAAACAAAAGUCAGGGGCAAUCUCUCAAAAAGGUUGGACUCUACUUAGAAAGGCAAGUGUUCACACAUGGCCAACUCUAUGUUGCAAUGUCAAGGGUUACCAGCAGAAAUGGAUUGCGGAUACUUAUAUCGGAUGAAGAGCGUCCAUCCGACAAGGUUGCAAAAAACAUUGUUUACAAGGAUAUAUUAUAGAUAUUUUUUUUAAUAACUAGAAGUAUAAGUUAAGAACAAAUACAAACAUUCUUAAAUGACCAAAUAUAAUGUGUUGCAGACAUAGCAGCCUUUUUUUCUGGAAAGACAUAGCAGCCUUAUCUGUUUUAAAUUGGUUUUUAAAAUUGUUUUAAAUGGUUAUCUCUGAAGUAUUAUAUUUGUCAGCAAGGUACUUCUCUCUGCAUUUACAGGUAAACAAAAAUAUGCGAGCAAGGGCUAACAACUGAUUUGACAAGAUCAAUACCAGUUAUAUAUGUAUGCAUUAGGGACGUGGCUCUAAAGUUACAGAGCCAUUGAAGAACCAAGAUCAUUUUCUCAAUUAAUAUAAAAUUUCUUUCUUACAUAGCCUACCAGUCAUAUCCAAUUUCACAAAUAAUAGAAAAUACUGGAACAAGUAAUUUCGUAGCUGCAUCUGCCAGCAUUUUCCUUGAUGACUCCUCUACCAUCGUCUCUCAAGUACACUUUACAGCAAGAUGCAAACAUACGGUGCUCAAAUUUAUUUAAUACAAGGAGGAGAUGGUAAGGCAAAGGGAGAUAUGCACCUGUUCGUGCAAACGCACAGUAAAGAGGAAAAGAUGCAUACUGAAUGGAUAAGAUAAUGCCACUUUCUUUGGUAGAUGGAUAGGAGUUGCCGG